UUCUUCAUCUUCUUCUUUUUCUUCUUCAUCUUCUUCUCA
rnacentral:sRNA from 1 species